rnacentral:rRNA from 1 species
UACGAAGGGGGCUAGCGUUGCUCGGAAUCACUGGGCGUAAAGCGUACGUAGGCGGCUUUCUAAGUCAGGGGUGAAAUCCUGGAGCUCAACUCCAGAACUGCCUUUGAUACUGGGAGCUCGAGUCCGGAAGAGGUGAGUGGAACUCCGAGUGUAGAGGUGAAAUUCGUAGAUAUUCGGAAGAACACCAGUGGCGAAGGCGGCUCACUGGUCCGGUACUGACGCUGAGGUGCGGAAAAGCGUGGGGAGCAAACAGGG